UCUCGGCUUAUCACCGGCAGUCCCCUUAGAGUGCCCAACUGAAUGAUGGCAACUAAGGGCGAGGGUUGCGCUCGUUGCGGGACUUAACCCAACAUCUCACGACACGAGCUGACGACAACCAUGCACCACCUGUCACCGUUGCCCCCGAAGGGGAAACUAUGUCUCCAUAGUGGUCACCGGGAUGUCAAGACCUGGUAAGGUUCUUCGCGUUGCUUCGAAUUAAACCACAUGCUCCACCGCUUGUGCGGGCCCCCGUCAAUUCCUUUGAGUUUCAGUCUUGCGACCGUACUCCCCAGGCGGCGAACUUAACGCGUUAGCUUCGAUACUGCGUGCCAAAUUGCACCCAACAUCCAGUUCGCAUCGUUUAGGGCGUGGACUAC
rnacentral:misc_RNA from 1 species